rnacentral:rRNA from 1 species
CAGCCGCCACGGUAACACGUAGGGUGCAAGCGUUAAUCGGAAUUACUGGGCGUAAAGCGUGCGCAGGCGGUGUUGUAAGACUGAUGUGAAAUCCCCGGGCUCAACCUGGGAACUGCAUUGGUGACUGCAACGCUGGAGUGCGGCAGAGGGGGAUGGAAUUCCGCGUGUAGCAGUGAAAUGCGUAGAUAUGCGGAGGAACACCGAUGGCGAAGGCAAUCCCCUGGGCCUGCACUGACGCUCAUGCACGAAAGCGUGGGGAGCAAACAGGAUUAGAUACCCGCGUAGUCCCUGUCUCUUAUAC